CCUGGCGGAUGCUUACCAUGCAAGUCGCACGGUCAGCAAUGGCAGUGGCGGACGGGUGAGUAACGCGUAGGAAUAUGUCCAGAGGUGGGGGACAACCCCGGGAAACUGGGGCUAAUACCGCAUAUGAGCUGAGGCUCAAAGCAGUGAUGCGCCUUUGGAGUAGCCUGCGUCCGAUUAGCUUGUUGGUGGGGUAAUGGCCUACCAAGGCGACGAUCGGUAGCUGGUCUGAGAGGACGACCAGCCACACUGGGACUGAGACACGGCCCAGACUCCCACGGGAGGCAGCAGUGGGGAAUAUUGGACAAUGGGCGCAAGCCUGGUCCAGCAAUUCCGCGUGGGUGAAGAAGGUCUUCGGAUUGUAAAGCCCUUUCGACGGGGACGAUGAUGACGGUACCCGUAGAAGAAGCCCCGGCUAACUUCGUGCCAGCAGCCGCGGUAAU
rnacentral:rRNA from 1 species